GACGGAGGGUGCUAGCGUUGUUCGGAAUUACUGGGCGUAAAGGGCGCGUAGGCGGCCGCUUGCGUCGGAUGUGAAAGCCCGGGGCUCAACCCCGGAACGGCAUCCGAUACGGGGCGGCUGGAGACCGGGAGAGGAGGGUGGAAUAGCCAGUGUAGAGGUGAAAUUCGUAGAUAUUGGCUGGAACACCGGUGGCGAAAGCGGCUCUCUGGACCACAACUGACGCUGAGGCGCGAAAGCUAGGGGAGCAAACAGG
rnacentral:rRNA from 1 species